rnacentral:tRNA from 1 species
CGGGGCAUAGCGCAGCCUGGUAGCGCAUCAGUCUGGGGGACUGGGGGUCGCAGGUUCAAAUCCUGUUGCCCCGACCA